rnacentral:rRNA from 1 species
CGUGUAGGCGGUUUGGUAAGUCUGAUGUGAAAGCCCCGGGCUCAACCUGGGAAGUGCAUUGGAAACUGUCAGACUUGAAUACGGGAGAGGGUAGUGGAAUUCCUGGUGUAGGAGUGAAAUCCGUAGAUAUCAGGAGGAACACCAGUGGCGAAGGCGGCUGCCUGGACCGAUAUUGACGCUGAGACGCGAAAGCGUGGGUAGCAAACAGGAUUAGAUACCCUGGUAGUCCACGCCGUAAACGAUGAGUACUAGGUGUUGCGGGUAUUGACCCCUGCAGUGCCGCAGCUAACGCAUUAAGUACUCCGCCUGGGAAGUACGGUCGCAAGACUAAA